rnacentral:sRNA from 1 species
UUUGCCGAGGCGUACACUGUGGUACUUU